rnacentral:rRNA from 1 species
UUCCAGACUCCUACGGGAGGCAGCAGUGGGGAAUAUUGCACAAUGGGGGAAACCCUGAUGCAGCGACGCCGCGUGAGCGAUGAAGUAUUUCGGUAUGUAAAGCUCUAUCAGCAGGGAAGAAAAUGACGGUACCUGACUAAGAAGCCCCGGCUAACUACGUGCCAGCAGCCGCGGUAAUACGUAGGGGGCAAGCGUUAUCCGGAUUUACUGGGUGUAAAGGGAGCGUAGACGGCUGUGCAAGCCAGAUGUGAAAGCCCGGGGCUCAACCCCGGGACUGCAUUUGGAACUGUGUGGCUGGAGUGUCGGAGAGGCAGGCGGAAUUCCUAGUGUAGCGGUGAAAUGCGUAGAUAUUAGGAGGAACACCAGUGGCGAAGGCGGCCUGCUGGACGAUGACUGACGUUGAGGCUCGAAAGCGUGGGGAGCAAACAGGAUUAGAUACCCCGGUAA